rnacentral:rRNA from 1 species
AACGAACGCUGGCGGCAGGCUUAACACAUGCAAGUCGAGCGCCCCGCAAGGGGAGCGGCAGACGGGUGAGUAACGCGUGGGAAUCUACCCAAUACUACGGAAUAGCUCCGGGAAACUGGAAUUAAUACCGUAUGUGCCCUACGGGGGAAAGAUUUAUCGGUAUUGGAUGAGCCCGCGUUGGAUUAGCUAGUUGGUGGGGUAAUGGCCUACCAAGGCGACGAUCCAUAGCUGGUCUGAGAGGAUGAUCAGCCACACUGGGACUGAGACACGGCCCAGCCUGUUACGGGAGGCAGCAGUGGGGAAGAUUGGACACUGGGCGAAAGCCUGUUCCAGCCAUGCCGCGUGAGUGAUGAAGGCCUUAGGGUUAUAAAGCUCUUUUAGCAGGGAAGAUGAUGACGGUACCUGCAGAAAAAGCCCCGGCUAACUUCGUGCCAGCCGCCGCCGUAAUAC